AAAGGAAUUGACGGGGCCCGCACAAGCAGCGGAGCGUGUGGUUUUAAUUCGAUGCAACACGAAGAACCUUACCAGGGUUUUGACAUGCUGGAAGUAGAAACCCGAAAGGGGGACGACCUGUUGAGUCAGGAACCAGCACAGGUGCUGCAUGGCUGUCGUCAGCUCGUGCCGUGAGGUGUUGGGUUAAGUCCCGCAACGAGCGCAACCCUCGUUGCCAGUUGUUUUCUCUGGCGAGACUGCCCCGCAAAACGGGGAGGAAGGUGGGGAUGACGUCAAGUCAGCAUGGCCCCUAUGUCCUGGGCUACACACACGCUACAAUGGGCGGUACAGUUGGUGGCAAUGGGGCGACCCGGAGCUAAUCCGAAAAGCCGUCCUCAGUACGGAUUGCAGGCUGAAACCCGCCUGCAUGAAGCUGGAGUUGCUAGUAACCGCGUAUCAGCAUGGCGCGGUGAACUACGUCCUCGGGCCUU
rnacentral:rRNA from 1 species